AAGGCCAAAUCAUUGAAAAUAAAGAAUUUCCAUCAACCUUAUCACUUUGCACGACCAUUACUCUGAAAAACAGAGAGAAAAGAAAACCAAAAACCAUUUCUUGGCUGGUUUGAAGAAAUUCUAAAGGGAUCCAAGUGAAAUCAAAGCCAAAGAAGUGGAUUAAGCUUAGUUCUAACCUUUUUAUGAUAUUUCUUGGGGUUUCCAAGUAGUUUGAGGUUUAGAAAAGCUUGAAGAGAUUGUUUUCGCCGAAAAGUUGCUCGGAUAAGCACAUCAAUACCUAAGACACCACUUGUUACACGGUGAAAUAUAUUUUGGACAGAAGGUAGAGAAAGAAAUGUGUGAAUGACAUGAGGAGAAUUGAAGCAUGGUCCUGACCCUGAUUUGUACAUAUGAACAUAUCGAUCUUUUGUGGGUUAUUUCAGUUAUCAGUGAGAUGUUUGUAAUAAAGUGUGAAGUUAUGUUUUGAAAAUAAAUUGGGUUAUUUAAUACUUAUGUAUAAUAUGUUUGAGACACACUUUAUGUUUAAUGUAAAUAAUGUGAAAUAAGUUUUCAAGU